GUGGGGUACGGCGACAUGUACCCUGAGACUGUAGGUGGCAAAAUUGUAGGCUCCCUGUGUGCCAUCGCUGGAGUGCUCACCAUCUCCCUCCCGGUGCCUGUCAUUGUCUCCAAC